AUUGAACGCUGGCGGCGUGCCUAAUACAUGCAAGUCGAACGGAGUGGCGCACGGGUGAGUAAUGUAUAUCUAAUCUGCCCUACACUAGAGGACAACAGUUGGAAACGGCUGCUAAUACUCUAUAGUGUAGGAUGAGGCUAUAUUGUAUCAGCUAGUUGGUGAGGUAAUGGCUCACCAAGGCUAUGACGCAUAACUGGUGUGAGAGGAUGAUCAGUCAAACUGGACGGGAGACACGGGUGAGACUCCUACGGGAGGCAGCAGUAGGGAAUAGUGCUCAAUGGGGGAAAACCUGAAGGAGCAACGCCGCGUGAAGGAUGACACUUUGCGGAGAGUAAACUCCGUUUGUUAGGGAAGCGGUACCUAACGAAGAAGCACCGGCUAACUCCGUGCCAGCAGCCGCGGUAAUUC
rnacentral:rRNA from 1 species